rnacentral:rRNA from 1 species
AUACGGAGGGGGUUAGCGUUGUUCGGAAUUACUGGGCGUAAAGCGCACGUAGGCGGACCGGAAAGUUGGGGGUGAAAUCCCGGGGCUCAACCCCGGAACUGCCUCCAAAACUUCCAAUCUAGAGAUCGAGAGAGGUGAGUGGAAUUCCAAGUGUAGAGGUGAAAUUCGUAGAUAUUUGGAGGAACACCAGUGGCGAAGGCGGCUCACUGGCUCGAUACUGACGCUGAGGUGCGAAAGCGUGGGGAGCAAACAGGAUUAGAAACCCUAGUAGUCC